rnacentral:tRNA from 1 species
GGCCCGUUGGUCAAGCGGUUAAGACACCGCCCUUUCACGGCGGUAACACGGGUUCGAAUCUCGUACGGGUCACCA